UCUAUUGAAAUACUGUUUUCAGGGUUUUAAAAUCCUGUUUUUUUCUGGUAGGGGGCACCUGGAGCAAUCCUCGAUAUUUCGAUUGUGCCUUCAGCCUUUUAUAAAAAUGAGCUGCACAGACGUUUCUCGGUGGAGGGGUCAGCUGAAAGGUUCUGAUCAGCUGUGUCUGCCGUACAGAGAUGCAGCGCUCAGCGGGGUCUCCAACCUUCCCUCAGGCAACAAACUAGGGCAGAAGCCAGCUGGCUUGCUCUGAAUACCUCAGUCCCGCCGAUCUCCGGAUCACCAGCUGGUUUUGAUUGUGGCUGGAUCUAAGAAGGCGGUGGGCCACACGUCUGUCCCAUUCACGGCUGAGAUGUCGUCCACGAAACUCGGGAACCCUAACCACACCGUAGACCGGACUGUGAUACCUAAGGGAGAAUCAGCUAGAAAGGCCUUCAUUCCCUAAUCACUAAAACGAUAUCGUCGUGAAGGAGCAGAAAGUUCAUCCUGCCUUUGGGAAAAUCAGUCCGUUCAAGGAUCUCACGGAAAUCUCACGCAUGUAGAAUCUUUUUCUUUUUCUCCUUUUUGGCUGCGCCGCACGGCAUGUGGGAUGUUAGCUCCCCGACCAGGGAUUGAACCGGGGCCCCCAGCACUGGAAGCGCAGAGUCUCAAUCGCUGGACCUCCAGGGAAGUCCCUAGAAUCCUUUUUUUGCUGCUUGGAAAUUGCUUGGGCUGGUUUUCACUAGAACCCACGUGCCGCAAUUUUAUGCUACGAUUUCGUUGGCACUGCUAUCCCCAAGUUGCAAGCAGGUUGGGUCGCAGAAGGCGUUCAAGAUUUGAAAAAGAUGUUCCCCAAAUGUAAUUCUCCAGAUGGAGGUAAGGCUGCCAGGCUGGCCUCACAACUCCUGUUGUCUCAGGAGCCCGGAGCCCGGCCCCCGGGGCAGAGCUUUGAUCUCUGGCCCCUGACCUCAGCUGAGGGUCACUCACGGGUGGGUGGUGGACAUGGCCCAGGCAGGGGGCCGCUUUUUAUUCUGCCCUUCG